UUGCAGUUAAAAAAAAAAACCUUUCUUCCCUUUUUUUCUCUGUAGGCUUCCUUGGGUCGGCCAUGGAGGCCGCUGUUGCCUCGCCGUGGCCACCGUUCAUCUACGACGGUGACUGCCGCCUCCGGUGGCCUGAGUAAAAGAAUUUGCCAUUUUUAGCCCUCUUUUUUUACCCCAAACUCAUAUCUAACCUAAUAGCUUCUGAAAUAAAUAAAAAAGGAAGAUAACGCGAAGAAAGCCUCGGUCUCACCGCGUUCGUCAAACCCUCGUCAAAACCUUAAUGGGUUUCGAGAUAUUCGGGCAUUGGAGAUAGUUUCCAACAAUGGCAGAAGAUGAAUUGACAAGUGGUGGUGAGCGGUCAACGGUGACGGUGGGAAGUGCACCUUUGCCAUUUUGGUGCAAUGGCAGCAGGGGCAUACCAGACCUUGGGCAGCGAGCACGCUGACGUUGCCAGUAGCAGCGGCACAGGGGGUCUUAAGGUUUUUAGUUUUUUGAAAAAUAAUUUAGGUUGUGGGCUUGGGAUGGUAGUUUGGACCUGGGUUAUUGGAUUUUGUUUAUAUUCGGGCUUAUAAUUUGGGCUGGCAUAUUUAUAAUUGGACUUUUUAUUUAUUUUUGGUUUUAUUUAUUUUUUUCAUUUAGUUUUUGUUUGGGCUCGGGCUAAAUUGGACCUCUAUAUGUAUUUUUUUUAACUUUUUUUGUCAUAAUCAGGAUAUCUACGACUGGUAGUAAUGACUAAUCUUCUCAUCA